rnacentral:rRNA from 1 species
CGGGGUACUCGAGCGGCGAACGGGUGAGUAACACGUGAGCAACCUGCCCUAGGCUUUGGGAUAACCCUCGGAAACGGGGGCUAAUACCGGAUAGGACCUGGCUCCGCAUGGGGUUGGGUGGAAAGUUUUUCGGCCUGGGAUGGGCUCGCGGCCUAUCAGCUUGUUGGUGGGGUGAUGGCCUACCAAGGCGACGACGGGUAGCCGGCCUGAGAGGGCGACCGGCCACACUGGGACUGAGACACGGCCCAGACUCCUACGGGAGGCAGCAGUGGGGAAUAUUGCACAAUGGGCGGAAGCCUGAUGCAGCGACGCCGCGUGAGGGAUGACGGCCUUCGGGUUGUAAACCUCUUUCAGCAGGGACGAAGCGCAAGUGACGGUACCUGCAGAAGAAGCGCCGGCCAACUACGUGCCAGCAGCCGCGGUAAGACGUAGGGCGCGAGCGUUGUCCGGAUUUAUUGGGCGUAAAGAGCUCGUAGGCGGCUUGUCGCGUCGACUGUGAAAACCCGUGGCUCAACUGCGGGCCUGCAGUCGAUACGGGCAGGCUAGAGUUCGGUAGGGGAGACUGGAAUUCCUGGUGUAGCGGUGAAAUGCGCAGAUAUCAGGAGGAACACCGGUGGCGAAGGCGGGUCUCUGGGCCGAUACUGACGCUGAGGAGCGAAAGCGUGGGGAGCGAACAGGAUUAGAUACCCUGGUAGUCCACGCUGUAAACGUUGGGCGCUAGGUGUGGGGGGCC